UCUUUUUUUCACUGACAUAAUCAGUUGACCUCAAAUUGUUCCUUCCACUUUUACAGAAUCUUCACAAAUUUUUCCUUCUAUGUGUUAGAAGCCUUCUUUGCACCUUCUUCCUUUCAAAACUACUUGCUUGUACCUCUGCUUCACUGACCCCAUAAUUACAAAUCCUAUCUGAAAAUAAUUCUUCUUUCCUAAUAUUUUUCUUAGCUCUGUGAGAAAAGUGCUUUGCUGACUAUUAUGUAAAAUUCUCUUUCCUGCUGUAGCUACCUCUAAAAUGUUCUGGAAUCCAGUAUGUAAAAAAAUGCUAUGAAGAACUGUGUAUGCUUUGCACACACAAACGGGAUGUGUAAAUUACGAGGAUUACUAACGAAAGAACAAGAUUACAGGGGAAUCACUGGUAGUUAGUUACAGGGAAGCAUUAAAGUACUUAAGACCACGAGUCUCCAUUAGACUUCAAUAGGAUUUGUAUUUCUAACACCGUUUGCUGGGGGUUUGUUUUGUUUUAAGUAUUACUACUAUUAAUAAACAAUGAGCACCUCAUUAUACUAUAGUCUUACACAAAAUUAAUCAUUAAGAUUCAGUGCCUUGAAGUAAAAUAUUAUUACAAGAAAAUAUUCACAAUAGAACUCAGGAAAUUUACACUAAAAAUAAAUAGAAAGAACUGAAUCUUCUGAAUAUACUGAAGUUCAUAAUGAAAGACAGCAACAAAAGAUUCUCUCUGACUGUAUAGCAACACUGUCUUCCUGUCUUUCCAUUUAUUUUCUUUUCAUAAUAUAGAUGUUGUGUUACUUUUACAUAAAAGUAAUUUUGGUUUGCAGGUUUGGUUUUUGUUUGUUGUUUUUUUAAAGUGCUCUAAGCCGUUUGAAGACAUAAAUUAAUGAGUGGCACUUUGAAUUUAAAAAAAAAUAAUCAUAAAGCAGAAUUUCUUAACUGUUUUUAUACACACAGGGAACACUUAUAAACUAACUAAAAGGAUAUAUACAUUUCAAUAAUAUUAUCUCUUCUAAAUAUACAAGAUCAUCUAGAAAUCUGUAGUCUCCUAACAAAACAUUUAGGUACAUUUUACUGUACAUAUCUCUAGCCCUGUUGACCUUAUGCUAAAAAAUUCCAGUGGCUUCUAUUCAUUGUCAGCUAAGACUCAAUGCUUUCACAUAACACAGAUUUUUUCUUUUCAAAGCCAGCUAUGGGAAAUAUUAACCCCUAUCUCAUCUAGGUUUCUAUCUGGAGAGUGACAGAUUAUGUGGAUUUGACAGUCUUGCAUACACAAGAGCUCUAUAAUUAAUUUUAUGUGCAUGAAAGCAUAAAUACAUAUGGGUACACAUUUUAUCAUCUGCAUUCUUUUUUAUGCUGAUUCAUUGUAAUGGUAGUAGAGAUCCAGACCAGUGUUUGAGGUGAUGCUGAAGAAAAAUUGGCUGCUUGUCUUUAUUUUGCAUGGUACUAAAUAUCACAUCAGAAUGCACCACACAAAGGACUCAAAAUUUCCUCUCUGAAAUAAAAAUAGUACAAGAGCUUAUAACCUCUGCUGCUUUUGAAGUUUUCUCACUAUGAGAAGACUGAUAGUGAGGCUAUUUGGUGUUCAAACUCAUUGGUAAAGUGAACAAGCAUCACCAUCUCAUACCAGUAAGUAUAAAAUGGGGAGACCCUUUUCAAGAGAAGGUGGUAACUGGCAUUAUUUUAAAAUAAAAAUUAUCAUCAUAAUCCGUAAUUAAAGAUUAAUAACCAAGGAAGAACACCUGUAACAUUUCACAAGAAAGUUUUGGAGGUGCUCUACUUUCCCUGUUAAGGUUUUGGAUUCCACUUGCCAAACAUUGUUUUAUUCAAGGGCUAAGAAUUCUCGAUGGUCUCUUUCAUCCUCUUUCUCUGAAGGAGAGGAAUUCAUUCAGUCAAAACUGUUUUUCACUUCUAGCAAUUCAUAGGACCAUGCAAAAACUGUGAAUUGUUACUUAACCUACUAACAAACACAGACAAUAGCAGAAUAAAACACUAAACUGGAGACUGACAAAUUACAUUAUUUUUCCAGUGCCAAGUCAUGUUCCAAAGCAGAGUUGGUGCAGACAUACUCCUUCUGACUCCGGAUCUUUUCUACAGAAUUUUUUCGAUUUGUCAAUGCCAUGCAUUGCUGC
rnacentral:lncRNA from 1 species